CGCGUGACCAGAAGUGUUGCGGCCGAAUAGGAACUAACGGCCGUGUCACUAAGCAACAGAGGAAAAGAGCAGGGGAUUCUUCUAGCAAAAAGGUCCAAUGAUAUCAUCCGACUGAACUAUGUGCCAGUGCUUCAAAACUGUUUCACGAAUGUGCUUAGAGGAAAUCAAAUAUGUGGCUGAAGACACCAAUCUAUUCAUAUCGCAAUCGCAUCACCAUUAGCCUGCUGGGUGGCCCUGUACUGUGCGGCACCCAGUAUGAGAUUCUAGCCACUCUAUGAAAACUGCUAAAUUAAGCAAUUAAGAAACAGAACUUACUACCCAAGGACAAUUAUUUUGUUAUAUACUGUAGUGAAUGAAAAUCCCAUGUAAAAUCUCCUUUUAGAUAUACUUUGAUAUGGAUGAAAUAUUAUAUACUGUACUUUCUCA